rnacentral:rRNA from 1 species
AUGGCGCGGUUCAACGGAGCCACUGUUUUCCUCAUCAUCAUCGCCACCGUGUCCGUCUACAGCUGCGCCAUCAUCGCCGGCGCCGCACUCGGCCGAACACUGGACAGCUCCGCGACGACUAAGCAGACGCCGUCGGACAGGACCCUCCGCGUCAGCGUCAGCUUCAGAGGCCUCGCCAAGGACUUCGCAAAGGAGCUCUGGGGUGGUAAUCACAGGGAAGGACGGUCAGGCAGAGCUCUCGCCGGUGCGGGUGACGGAACUGCGGUACUGUCAUCAUCCCCCGCGAGCGUCUCGCUCUCACCACGAGCCAACAGGGCGGCCGCGGCGGAUCGCGAGUCAGCGCUGCAGCCCAUGCCAGUUGCCAACUACACGCAAGUGAACAGCAGGGUCAGGGAUGACGUCCACACAAGAGCAGCAGCGAGACCGUGGUCGAGGCACAGCAACUUCUCCGACGAGAUCACUGACGAGAAAAGGCCGGGAGGAAGAGGAGUGAUCAAGGUCGGGCCGUGGGGAGGAUCCGGCGGGGCACCUUUCUACAUGCGCGGCGGCCGCGGCGUGAGCGCCCCUCGCGUGCGCAGUGUCACCCUGCAGUACACCGACAACGCCAUCCAUUCCUUCUACCAAAGCUCAGACGAGCCCGUGGUGAAGCUGACGCUGGAACGAGCAGAAGGCGGUGGCCAAAGUAGAGCUCGUUUAACGGCUCUAGACUUAAUGCGGUCCCUCGCUGUUACUGAGGAAUCACCUCCGAACUAUGCCCAGCCCGAAUCAGGGGCUGGGAGCAGGGAAUUUUACGUCCCACCCGCCACCCACUUCAUAGCCACUGUCGAUGACUUAAUCGACAUGCCGGAUUACACCUCUGAAGACAUCGAUGGCGUGGACGACGAUGCCAGAGACGAACAAGGCCAAGACCCGCCGUUUACUGGACGCUGCACGGCCACCUCCACAUACAACGUGUAUAUGGUGGAUACACCCAAAGAAGAUGACGGCGAAGGCAGAAAGGAUUCGGUUGAGGAGAAACCUGUUGAGGCUCCACCAAAGCGUCGACGCUAG